GUGUCUUAUAGCGAUCGAGUGGUUCGCCCUGCUUCUUUCCACUCGUGAGGUCCCCAGCUCAACUUCCAGCCCGGAGACCGGCUAACCUCAUAGGUUUAGUCACCUCUGCCAGCAGAAGCGACAUUUACCUGAGGAAGUCGUUCAGCUGCCAUUGAUCUGCAUUUGUGUUCCAGUUAUUAAAGAGAUACGUUACUGUCGUAAGAGGUCACACUGCCUCCAUCAUCAGGGCGAUGAUCGCCUCAUCCCGGAAGACAGUCAUAUUCGUUCCCGUCGCCGUUGGAACCUGAGAUUUCACUAUGUGGAUUUGCUGUCCGUACCAACAGACGAGCAGACGUCAGAUAGCAAGUACAGCACACACAAAAGUUACUCGAAUGAUUGCAUUGACUACACAGAAUUGACAAAAUUGUGUCGUGCCUGAUAGGAUCGGUUUGUUCGCAACAAGGUUAUAUCCUUGAAAUCGCCAGAUUAAAGAGAAUGUCAUUCAAAUAAAAAGUCAAAAUAA